GUUAAACGGCCGCGGUAUUUUGACCGUGCAAAGGUAGCGCAAUCACUUGUCUUUUAAAUGAAGACCUGUAUGAAUGGUGGAACGAGGGCCUAACUGUCUCCCUUUUCAAGUCAAUGAAAUUGAUCUAUCCGUGCAGAAGCGGGUAUGCGAAUACAAGACGAGAAGACCCUUUGGAGCUUAAGAUUAAAAAUCAACUAUGUUAAAUAUCCACCGGAUAAAACUAAAUAGCAACUGAUCAUAAUCUUCGGUUGGGGCGACCACGGAAUAAAGACAAACUUCCACAUGGACUGAGGACUAACCUUAAACCCAAGAAAGACAUUUCUAAGUCACAGAAUUUCUGACCACACAGAUCCGGCAAACCACCGAUCAAUGGACCAAGUUACCCUAGGGAUAACAGCGCAAUCCCCUUUUAGAGUUCCUAUCGACAAGGGGGUUUACGACCUCGAUGUUGGAUCAGGACAUCCUAAUGGUGCAGC
rnacentral:rRNA from 1 species